UACAGAGGGGGCAAGCGUUGUUCGGAAUUACUGGGCGUAAAGGGCGCGUAGGCGGCCUGUUAAGUCGAACGUGAAAUCCCCAGGCUCAACCUGGGAACUGCGUCCGAUACUGGCAGGCUCGAAUCCGGGAGAGGGAUGUGGAAUUCCAGGUGUAGCGGUGAAAUGCGUAGAUAUCUGGAAGAACAUCAGUGGCGAAGGCGGCUUUCUGGGCCUUACCUGACGCUGAGGAGCGAAAGCUGGGGGAGCAAACAGG
rnacentral:rRNA from 1 species